UGCUUACAGGCAGUCAAUUCUGUACUGUUGAGGUGCAUGUAUUGACUCCUUGUGGCAAGUAAAAUACUUUGAGGAUAAAGAUUCCAGUGACUCUGUCGUCUUUGAGUAAGAUUUUUCUGACAACUUGGUCCUUUGAGCCAGAUACCAAUAACCUUUCCUCCAUCCAGGGUUGGGAACUGAAACCGUGCACGGUGGAGUCUGGGAGUCCUUAAACAAAAGCCCUCCAGCUGAAUUGCUGUCGAAAAGAGGCCAGGACCCACUGGAGGGGGAAGGGUGACAGGAUCCUAGAGCAUCACAGACUCACUGGACUCUCAGAAGCAACACCAAGUCCUGCGGAUCCAGUGGUACAGCCAGGCGACUGGGUGCUGACUAAGGUCAUAAAAAGGAAAACCUGGUCCAGCCCGCGGUGGGAAGGCCCAUUCCAAGUCCUCCUCACCACCCCAACUGCUGUCAAAGUUGCUGAAAGAACCACCUGGAUCCAUCUGGCAGAGUAUGGUCUAGACCUGCUCUAUAGGAAAAGCGCAAUGAGAUAACUUCUGUUAUGAAUUGGCGCUAUAUAAAUAAAAUAGAAUUGAAUUGAGUCUGUCACACUGUAAAGGGUAUUUGGGUUGCCUGAAGGGGCAGAUCAGACUGGAGGCUCUUAAAUUACUGGCCUGCCGGUGACUGGGGGAAAGGCUACAAAGGGGCUCAUUACUAAAUACUUAGCGGGCCGUCUCAAACCCAGUGAACAAUUAAGAUCCCAGUCAUUUAGAGGUGACGUAGUUGUAGAGUAAAACAGUACUGAACCCCCAGAAGGUACCCCAAGAAUAUGGAUAGACAAAAACCUUGGCAUCCAUUUAGGCAUCCAGGGCUCUGUGGAACUCUGGGGUACAAUCUGUUGUUUUACAACUGUUGAUCUGAUAAUAGUAUUUCCAAUCUUAUGGUAUGAGAUGAGAACAACAAUAGAACAAACCCCAUCUUAGGAUGAUAUACACUGCCCAACAGACAAGAAUAAGCAACUGUAUAGCAUGUUCAACAGCCAGACCUCAAUUGAAUCUUCCCUGUUCUGGUGGGCAACAAUAAAUAAUAAUGUGGAUUGGAUUAAUUAUCUGUACUAUAAUCAACAGAGGUUUGUGAACUACACCAGAGAUGCAGUAAAAGGUAUAGCUGAACAGCCAGGCCCUACCUCUCUGAUGGUGUGGCAAAACAGAAUGGCUUUGGACAUGUUGUUGACUGAAAAAGGUGGUGUUUAUGAAAUGUUUGGAACACUUUGCUGUACUUUUAUUCCUAAUAAUACAGCACCUGAUGGGAGCAUUACCAGGGCCUAAGAGGGUCUCACUGCCCUCUCAGAAGAACUAGCUGAAAACGCUGGCAUAGAUGAUCCAUUUCCUUGAAUCCUGGUUCAGAAAAUGGAGUGGGCUAAUAUCUUCUCUCCUAGUCUCCUUAGCAGUUGCCGUGGCCCUGAUGGCAGUGUGUAGGUGUUGCUGCAUCCCCUGUAUCAGAGGCCUCCUUCAGCAUUGUUUGAUAUAGCAAUGACAAAGACAAUGUAUCAACAAAUACAAACCAAGGAUUAUGACUAUGAUGAAGAAACUCCAAAUUAAAACAAAGUGUGCCUCAUUUGACACUGAAGUGAACAAAUAAUGAUGCAGGUUAUGAAAAUCUAUCGAAGUGUAACAUGCUGAUGUAAAUUAUGGAAGUACACAGUGUCGUGUGAGAUUUAUAUUCCUUUUAUUUCACAGUAUAUGGUGCUUAGAUUAGAUAAAACUUAUUUUGUACUAGAAAAGUGUUUAUGUGUGAUAUUAUCCUAAAUAAAAAACUUUUCUUUUAACUGA